AAGUCUGAUCAUUGCACUAGGAACUCCAAGUCAAAACUUAGCUGGGACUCUUUCUCCAAGUAUAGGGAACUUGAAUAAUCUCCAGAAAUUGCUUUUACAGAACAAUAAC